GGGACGGUGGUGUAAGACGAACAUCGCUGCCCGGAAAGCAGAAGAUGCGGGUUCGAGUCCCGCCUGGCGCA
rfam:Heligmosomoides polygyrus genome assembly, scaffold: HPBE_scaffold0011188